CCAAUAAUUUCCAAUUUAGUCAGUUAAAUGCUUUUUCUGGGUCUAAUGUAAGUAGAAGACCAUAAAUGUCCUGGAGUCUGUGAAGCAUUAGCGUAAACUUUUUAGUGUUAUCUGCUCCCUACCAUCCUUUCCAGAACCCCGUCUGGUCAUUAGUGAUUUGAAAAGGUAACAGGUUUCCCAUUCUAUUUGCUAGAUAUUUGGCAAAUAUUUUAACAUCUGUAUGGAGAAGGGAUAUGGGACAUUGGGUAGG